ensembl:lncRNA MIR325HG MIR325 host gene
GCAGAUUGAAGCAGCUUCAUCUCAUUCCUGGUUCAUCCUGAUUCCCUCAGUGGCUUGCUCCUGCAUUAGUAAUGUAAAACUGGCCCAAAAGGGUUUAAAAUUGUCAGAAGUUGAUCUUGAUCAGUUCAAAUAUUUUUUGACAAAGAAAAUCAGUUCUGGUCAGUUCAAAUCUAUUUUGACCAGUUUAAACCAAUUCUGCAGAACUCGAGCCUGUGGUCGGUAAACCCAGGAAGAUGGCUGAAGACUAUGCUGAUUCAAGCCAAAGCAAGGAAUCAGAGAAAGGUAAGAUUCAUUAAGACUUGGGUGAAAAGAGUUAACAUGGGCAGAAUCCUGGAAGACUUCAAGAAGAAGGUGGAAUUCAAACGGAGUCCUGAAGAAUAGGAUGGGCCGCAAAGGAGAUUCUUCCAAGAUUUCAGAAGUUGGAAGGGAAGCAGAAUCCAUUUGAUAACACAAACACAUUGUUGCUUAUCUGUUGACUCAACUUGGGAUGAAGAAGCAGUUGAGCCAGUUGUGUGUGUAGAGCUCAAGGACAAAGGUCCUUAGCUUCUGCAGAAUACUAUCAUC